UACCAUUUCUUAUAUAUGAAUUUUAAGAAGACCUGUUCUACCCAAAGUCAACUUUAUUGCUCCAAAUGAGUAAGUUUUGGCCUCAGUAAUCAUUUGGUUAUCAUUUCCACCAAAUUUUUCUGUCCUCUCAUCCAUGUUCAGCCCAAUCAUUUGGUCAUCAUUUCCACAAAUUUUUCUGUCAUCUCAUCCCUGUUCAGCCCAUAUUGAGAACAUUAACAAUAUGUUUCCAUGGAUUCUAAUAUCUGAAAAACCUUCAGACUACAUGUCAAGAAACUUCAACAACACAAAAUUGAGAGAAACUUCAA
rnacentral:misc_RNA from 1 species